GGGAAGAAAAUGUGAUCAAACGACUGGGUAAUGUGACACUGGUCUUCGUUAUGACAAGAGCAAAAUACUCUCCGGGCCUGUGUUGUCUGUCUGGGCAAAAGUUGAGGCCGUUAUAAUAGCCUGUGGAAAAAUGGAUAUUGUUCGAUUGCGUAGUGGAGGUACGGAAAAUAUUGGAAUUUAUGUUCCAAGUAGUUGUAUCCCUCAGAUAAUUGAGUUGCUGACGAAAGAGUCUGAAAAUGUCAACGAAAAAAUGUUCUAAAACAAUUUUUUUCGAUUUUUUUUUCAUUUUUUUAUUCAUUUUGCAUGCUUUUGACCGUUCACCUUUUAAAGCCUGCUGAACAAAUAUUUGUGUGUAAAUGUUCUGUCAGUCGUUCCGUUAAUGAAACAAAAUGCAAUUGCCACCCGUUUCAGUUUGCAGCACAAGAUACAGAAAUUCUGUUAUUCGUGUCAGAGUAUCAAUAAAUUAAUUUUUUUCGUAUUC